UACGAAGGGGGCGAGCGUUUGUUCGGAAUUACUGGGCGUAAAGGGCGCGUAGGCGGCCCCUUUUGUCGCGUGUGAAAGCCCCGGGCUCAACCUGGGAACGGCGCGCGAAACGGGGGGGCUUGAGUUCGGGAGAGGAGAGUGGAAUUCCCAGUGUAGAGGUGAAAUUCGUAGAUAUUGGGAAGAACACCGGUGGCGAAGGGCGGCCCCCUGGUUGGAUACUGACGCUGAGACGCGAAAGCGUGGGGAGCAAACAGG
rnacentral:rRNA from 1 species